UGGGGGAUAUUGCACAAUGGGCGAAAGCCUGAUGCAGCGACGCCGCGUGGGGGAUGAAGGCUUUCGGGUUGUAAACCUCUUUCGCUAUCGAACAAGGCCCGCUUAGGGUGGGUUGAGGGUAGGUGGAGAAGAAGCGCCGGCUAACUACGUGCCAGCAGCCGCGGUAAUACGUAGGGCGCGAGCGUUGUCCGGAAUUAUUGGGCGUAAAGGGCUUGUAGGCGGCUUGUUGCGCCUGCUGUGAAAACGCGGGGCUUAACUUCGCGCGUGCAGUGGGUACGGGCAGGCUUGAGUGUGGUAGGGGUGACUGGAAUUCCAGGUGUAGCGGUGGUAUGCGCAGAUAUCUGGAGGAACACCGAUGGCGAAGGCAGGUCACUGGGCCAUUACUGACGCUGAGGAGCGAAAGCAUGGGUAGCGAACAGG
rnacentral:rRNA from 1 species